GCUAACUCUGUGCCAGCAGCCGCGGUAAUACAGAGGGUGCGAGCGUUAAUCGGAAUUACUGGGCGUAAAGCGCACGUAGGCGGCUUGGUAUGUCGGGUGUGAAAUCCCCGGGCUCAACCUGGGAACUGCAUCCGAAACUGCCUUGCUCGAGUAUGGGAGAGGGAAGUGGAAUUUCCGGUGUAGCGGUGAAAUGCGUAGAUAUCGGAAGGAACAUCAGUGGCGAAGGCGACUUCCUGGACCAAUACUGACGCUCAGGUGCGAAAGCGUGGGGAGCAAACAGGAUUAGAUACCCUGGUAGUC
rnacentral:rRNA from 1 species